rnacentral:rRNA from 1 species
UGGGGAAUAUUGCACAAUGGGCGCAAGCCUGAUGCAGCCAUGCCGCGUGUAUGAAGAAGGCCUUCGGGUUGUAAAGUACUUUCAGCGAGGAGGAAGGCGUUGUGGUUAAUAACCGCAACGAUUGACGUUACUCGCAGAAGAAGCACCGGCUAACUCCGUGCCAGCAGCCGCGGUAAUACGGAGGGUGCAAGCGUUAAUCGGAAUUACUGGGCGUAAAGCGCAAGCAGGCGGUCUGUCAAGUCGGAUGUGAAAUCCCCGGGCUCAACCUGGGAACUGCAUCCGAAACUGGCAGGCUAGAGUCUUGUAGAGGGGGGUAGAAUUCCAGGUGUAGCGGUGAAAUGCGUAGAGAUCUGGAGGAAUACCGGUGGCGAAGGCGGCCCCCUGGACAAAGACUGACGCUCAGGUGCGAAAGCGUGGGGAGCAAACA